AUUGAACGCUGGCGGCAUGCUUUACACAUGCAAGUCGAACGGCAGCACAGGGAGCUUGCUCCUGGGUGGCGAGUGGCGAACGGGUGAGUAAUGUAUCGGAACGUGCCUGGUAGUGGGGGAUAACUACUCGAAAGAGUGGCUAAUACCGCAUGAGAUCUUUGGAUGAAAGCGGGGGACCUUCGGGCCUCGUGCUACUGGAGCGGCCGAUAUCAGAUUAGGUUGUUGGUGGGGUAAAGGCCUACCAAGCCUGCGAUCUGUAGCUGGUCUGAGAGGACGACCAGCCACACUGGGACUGAGCCACGGCCCAGACUCCUACGGGAGGCAGCAGUGGGGAAUUUUGGACAAUGGGCGCAAGCCUGAUCCAGCAAUGCCGCGUGCAGGACGAAGGCCUUCGGGUUGUAAACUGCUUUUGUACAGAACGAAAAGUCUCUGGCUAAUAUCUAGAGAUCAUGACGGUACUGUAAGAAUAAGCACCGGCUAACUACGUG
rnacentral:rRNA from 1 species